rnacentral:rRNA from 1 species
UUAGAUCCUGGCUCAGAUUGAACGCUAGCGGCAUGCUUUACACAUGCAAGUCGAACGGCAGCGCGGGGCAACCUGGCGGCGAGUGGCGAACGGGUGAGUAAUACAUCGGAACGUGCCCUGUGAUGGGGGAUAACUACGCGAAAGCGUAGCUAAUACCGCAUACGACCUACGGGUGAAAGUGGGGGAUCGCAAGACCUCACGUCAUAGGAGCGGCCGAUGGCGGAUUAGCUAGUUGGUAAGGUAAAGGCUUACCAAGGCAACGAUCCGUAGCUGGUCUGAGAGGACGACCAGCCACACUGGGACUGAGACACGGCCCAGACUCCUACGGGAGGCAGCAGUGGGGAAUCUUGGACAAUGGGGGCAACCCUGAUCCAGCAAUGCCGCGUGUGGGAUGAAGGCCUUCGGGUUGUAAACCACUUUUGGCGGGGGCGAAAUAUCGAGUGCUAAUACCAUUCGGUGAUGACGGUACCCGCAGAAUAAGCACCGGCUAACUACGUGCCAGCAGCCGCGGUAAUACGUAGGGUGCAAGCGUUAAUCGGAAUUACUGGGCGUAAAGCGUGCGCAGGCGGUUAGGUAAGACAGAUGUGAAAUUCCCGGGCUCAACCUGGGAACUGCAUUUGUGACUGCCUGACUAGAGUGCGGCAGAGGGGAGUGGAAUUCCGCGUGUAGCAGUGAAAUGCGUAGAUAUGCGGAGGAACACCGAUGGCGAAGGCAACUCCUUGGGUCUGCACUGACGCUCAUGCACGAAAGCGUGGGGAGCAACAGGAUAGAUACCCU